GUGGACGCCAGUCUGCAUGGAGCCGACCUUGAAAUACCACCCUUUAAUGUUUGAUGUUCUAACGUGGACCCGUGAUCCGGGUUGCGGACAGUGUCUGGUGGGUAGUUUGACUGGGGCGGUCUCCUCCUAAAGAGUAACGGAGGAGCACGAAGGUUGGCUAAUCCUGGUCGGACAUCAGGAGGUUAGUGCAAUGGCAUAAGCCAGCUUGACUGCGAGCGUGACGGCGCGAGCAGGUGCGAAAGCAGGUCAUAGUGAUCCGGUGGUUCUGAAUGGAAGGGCCAUCGCUCAACGGAUAAAAGGUACUCCGGGGAUAACAGGCUGAUACCGCCCAAGAGUUCAUAUCGACGGCGGUGUUUGGCACCUCGAUGUCGGCUCAUCACAUCCUGGGGCUGAAGUAGGUCCCAAGGGUAUGGCUGUUCGCCAUUUAAAGUGGUACGCGAGCUGGGUUUAGAACGUCGUGAGACAGUUCGGUCCCUAUCUGCCGUGGGCGCUGGAGAACUGAGGGGGGCUGCUCCUAGUACGAGAGGACCGGAGUGGACGCAUCACUGGUGUUCGGGUUGUCAUGCCAAUGGCACUGCCCGGUAGCUAAAUGCGGAAGAGAUAAGUGCUGAAAGCAUCUAAGCACGAAACUUGCCCCGAGAUGAGUUCUCCCUGAGACUUAAAGUCUCCUGAAGGAACGUUGAAGACGACGA
rnacentral:rRNA from 1 species